rnacentral:rRNA from 1 species
GACGAACGCUGGCGGCGUGCUUAACACAUGCAAGUCGAGCGGUAAGGCCCUUUCGGGGGUACGACGAGCGGCGAACGGGUGAGUAACACGUGGGUGACCUGCCCUCAGCUCUGGGAUAAGCCUGGGAAACCGGGUCUAAUACUGGAUAUGACUCCAUGACGCAUGUUGGUGGGGUGGAAAGCCUUGUGCGGCUGAGGAUGGGCCCGCGGCCUAUCAGCUUGUUGGUGGGGUGANGGCCUACCAAGGCGACGACGGGUAGCCGGCCUGAGAGGGCGACCGGCCACACUGGGACUGAGACACGGCCCAGACUCCUACGGGAGGCAGCAGUGGGGAAUCUUGCGCAAUGGGCGAAAGCCUGACGCAGCGACGCCGCGUGAGGGAUGACGGCCU